rnacentral:rRNA from 1 species
UACGAAGGGGGCUAGCGUUGCUCGGAAUUACUGGGCGUAAAGCGCACGUAGGCGGAUUGUUAAGUCGGGGGUGAAAUCCUGGAGCUCAACUCCAGAACUGUCUUCGAUACUGGCGAUCUCGAGUCCGGGAGAGGUGAGUGGAACUGCGAGUGUAGAGGUGAAAUUCGUAGAUAUUCGCAAGAACACCAGUGGCGAAGGCGGCUCACUGGCCCGGUACUGACGCUGAGGUGCGAAAGCGUGGGGAGCAAACAGG